CCCCACUGGACAGAGGGGCUGCUUGGGACAGAGGGGCAGCUCGGGAUAGAGGUGGGGCAGCUGCUCGGGACAGAGGGACAGCUCGGGACAGAGGUGGGGCAGCUGCUCGGGACAGAGGUGGGGCAGCUGCUCGGGACAGAGGGACAGCUGCUCGGGACAGAGGUGCGGCAGCGGCUCUGGGCAGAGGGGCUCCGGCAGCGGCGCCGGACAGGCGGGAGACUCCGGCAGCGGCGCCGGACAGGCGGGAGACUCCGGCAGCCGCGCCGGACAGGCGGGAGACUCCGGCAGCCGCGCCGGACAGGCGGGAGACUCCGGCAGCCGCGCCGGACAGGCGGGAGACUCCGGCAGCCGCGCCGGACAGGCGGGAGACUCCGGCAGCCGCGCCGGACAGGCGGGAGACUCCGGCAGCCGCGCCGGACAGACAGGACCACCUGCAGGGAGGAGACAGAGAGACAGCCUGGUGCGUGGGGCUGCCACAGGAACCACCAGGCUGGGGAGACCUUCAGGAGGCUUGGGGUUAGGAGGAGGCACCUGAAGGACCGGGCUGUGGGGGAGCACUGGAGCUCUGGUGCGCAACCUUGGCACCACUUCCCCAGGCUGGAUAACCACUCUAGCCCGGACCCUCCAGAGUGCAGGCACAGGUUGAACCGGGCUUUGGGUAAGCACGGGAGAUCUAGUGCUUACUACACGCACCUCUCCCUUAGGCUCCACUCCCACAUUCGCCCGGCACGAGCGGAGUGCAGGCAGAGGACGCACUGCACCCUCCCAGCGCCCCGGAGACACAGCACGCAGAGCCGGCGCAGGAUACCCUGGACCAAAACUGCGUACCGGCGACCAGACCCGCUGAGCAGGCACCAUACGCCCUGGCUCGAUGCCCGCACUCGCAUGACACUCUCGGGGGGCUGUCCUAUAGCGCACCGGGCUAUGGACACGUACUGGCGACACCGUGCGCUUAACCGCAUAACACGGUGCCUGCCCAGUAUCACGCUGCUUAUAAUAAGCACGAGGAGUGAGCGCAGGUCUGCUACCUGGCUUAGCUCCACCCCUCGUGUGCCCCCCCCCCAAAAAAUGUUGGGGCUGUCUCUCGUACUGCCGUGCUGCCUCCUCAUAUCGCCGCCGCUCAGCUUUCGCUGCCUCCAGCUCUGCUUUGGGGCGGCGAUAUUCCCCAGCCUGUGCCCAGGGUCCCUCUCCGUUCAGUAUCUCCUCCCAUGUCCAGGAGUCCUGUGA
rnacentral:lncRNA from 1 species